rnacentral:rRNA from 1 species
UACAGAGGGUGCGAGCGUUCGUUCGGAAUUACUGGGCGUAAAGCGCGCGCUAGGCGGCCUUUAAGUCUGAGCGGUGAAAUGCCGGGCUCAACCCCGUGCCCGCCGCGGAUACGUGGGAGGCUGGAGACGAGUAGAGGCAAGCGGAAUUCCGGGUGUAGCGGUGGAAUGCGUAGAGAUCCGGAAGAACACCGGAGGCGAAGGGCGGCUUGACUGGGCUGCG